rnacentral:rRNA from 1 species
UACGUAGGGAGCAAGCGUUGUCCGGAAUCAUUGGGCGUAAAGCGCGCGUAGGUGGCCACAUAAGUCCGUUGUGAAAGUCAAAGGCUCAACCUUUGAAAGCCGAUGGAUACUGUGUGGCUAGAGUACGGAAGAGGCGAGUGGAAUUCCUGGUGUAGCGGUGGAAUGCGCAGAUAUCAGGAGGAACACCGAUAGCGAAGGCAGCUCGCUGGGACGGUACUGACGCUGAGACGCGAAAGCGUGGGGAGCAAACAGG